AUGGGGCUUGGGCUCAGCUGGGUUUUCCUUGUUGCUAUUUUAACAGGUGUCCAGGGUGAGGUGCAGCUGGUGAAGCCUGGGGGGUCUCUGAGACUCUCCUGUGCAGCCUCUGGAUUCACCUUCAGUAGCAACCACAUGCACUGGGUCUGCCAGGCUCCAGGGAAGGGGCUGGAGUGGGUCUCGUACAUUAAUCCAGGUGGAAGUAGCACAUACUAUGCAGACCCUGUGAAGGGCCGAUUCACCAUCUCCAGAGACAACGCCAAGAACACGCUGUAUCUGCAAAUGAACAGCCUGAGACCCGAGGACUCAGCCGUGUAUUUCUGUGCAGCAGACACAGGGAGGGGACGUGCCAAUAUAGGAAUUUGA